rfam:Aureobasidium namibiae CBS 147.97 unplaced genomic scaffold scaffold_24, whole genome shotgun sequence.
UCCGAUAUGGUCUAGUGGCUAGGAUUUCUCGCUCUCAAACUGUUCUUAAUGAACGAUUAGGUCCGAGGAGGCCGGGGUUCAAUUCCCCGUGUCGGAA